rnacentral:sRNA from 1 species
GAUGUCAUGGCUCCGUCUUAAAGGGGACGCGGGUGGCAGAAAGUGGAGCUGGGCUGAUGUGCGGGAGCGGCCGGAGUCUGUGGAGCUGGAAAUUCACCGGUCCAGGAAGACGUCUUUCCUGCGUCCCAGCACCUUGGGCCACGCUCCUUGGUGAGAGCGCCCUCUCCAAGGAGGCUGGCCCUGGAUAUUUCACCCAAAAUAUUUAUUUUUUCUUUUUUUCUAGGGUCUCACCUUGUUGCCCAAGCUGGAGUGCAGUUGCCUGAUCUCAGCUCACUGCAACCUCCACCUCCCAGGCUCAAGCUAUCCUCCUGCCUCAGCCUUCCGAGUAGCUGGGACCACAGGUGUGCACCAUCAUGCCCAGAUGAAAUUCUGCUGCAAGUGUUUUCCAAGGUUCCGUAUGACCCAUCAUUUGAUGAAACAAGAACAGCAGUCAGAUCCAUUACAAAGAGAGACACACAAAAAAACUAUGUGAAAAUGAGCUUAGCCCCUGGUGUUGUGUUGGAACUUCAGAUGCUUGCAGACACUUCGUGAAUGCUCUGUGACACUCAGAAUAG